UAGUUCGUUAUUUCUCAACUU
rnacentral:piRNA from 1 species